GUGGGAGGGAGGAAAGGGGGGGGGGGAAGGGAGUCAAACGGCCUGGAUCAGAGAAGAAGUGGUAAUUUAUUUCCUGGCCGCACACUGCGCACCUUUGAGGUGGUGUUGUCUCAACACUGUCCUCGAUCUCCCUCGUUUUUCUCCUUCCCUCCUCCCUCUCUCUUUGUACAGAAAAUGAAGAAAGCUGCUGCAGGCUAGUAGCAGAACACUGCUGAGCUUGGCUGCCUGAAGCUGAUCUAUCAAGGGAAAAGGGAACAUCUCCAAAUCAAGUGCAGAAUAUAAAAAGGCACCGAGCACAGACUCACCAGCAGGUACCAAGCCAAGUUCUGGAGCUGGAAAGGAACAGCUACUCUCCAGGGCUUCAGAAGCCAGGAGGAGAAAUGGUCAAUCAAUACAUAAAUGAAUGACUAAAAUCACUGACUAAAA